AGACUUCAAGCUGGCGCUAGAGCACUUCUACAUCCACGCAGGCAGGAGCGACAUGCUGGAUGAGCUGGAGCACAGCCUUGGCCUCAGCGCCUAGCACAUGGAAGGGUAUAAAUAUAAACAUAAAACAAAGAGAUUAUGCACCACUAAUCAAGGUUUUGGACCUAAAAAUGCACUUUCAAACAUGAUGGACCAAAUUGACACAACCUCAUAAGUUAAUGGACUAUACAUGCAUUUUACUCAGAAAAAAGUCAUUGUUCGACUGUGUGAUCAGAAAACCAAAUCAAUUUGACCACAACAAGUGCAUUUUAUAACUAAGAAAAUUGCGCAAUAGUUCAAAAAAAAACAGAGGUGGUCAAGCAGGGCAGUGAUUUAAACAAAACUAAGGCAAAUAAAUUCCACAAGAGAAAAAUGAUAAGGUUUUGCAGAAGAUGGCGAAAUAAGGCAAUUCAAGUCCAAAAAAUCAGAAUCCACAUAUUUAAAUUACACAUGAGUCAAUGUCUUUUUAUUUAAACAUUUUCUUUCAAACAGUCUGUAAAGAAUGUUGCAACCGUGCAGAUGUAAAGAAUGUUUUACCUAUUCAAAGAAGUAAAGGUUACAGAGGCUCGAAAACUCUUUGAUAUGAUGCCCCGUGCAAGUGUAAAGAAUGUUGUUACCUAUAGACAAUGAUUCAUGGGUAUUUCUUAGCUGGUGAAUUGGACGAAGUGAUGAAGCUCCUUGAUGACAUGCUCUUGAUUGGCUUGGAACCCACUGUUGUUGUCUUCAAUA
rnacentral:lncRNA from 1 species